rnacentral:rRNA from 1 species
UAAAUUGCCGCGGUAUUUUGACCGUGCAAAGGUAGCAUAAUAAUUAGUUUUUUUAUUGAAAGCUGGAAUGAAUGAUUGGACGAGAAAUUUUCUGUCUCAGUUGGACUUAUUUUUAAAUUUAACUUCUAAGUUAAAAGGCUUAGAUUUUAUUCAAAGACGAGAAGACCCUAUAGAGUUUGAUAGCUUUUUCUUAUAGAAAGUUUUUGGUUAUUUAUUUUUUCUAUUCUUUAUGUUAUUUAGUUGGGGUGACUUGAAGAUUAUUAAAACUCUUCUAUUAUUUUAUCAUUGAUUUAUGAUUAUUGAAUCUAGUUUUUUUAAAUUUAAAAUUAAUUACCUUAGGGAUAACAGCGUAAUUUCUUUUUAGAGUUCUUAUUGAAAAGGAAGUUUGCGACCUCGAUGUUGGAUUAAAAUUUAUUUUUGGUGUAGCAGCUGAAAUAUUGGGUCUGUUCGACCUUUAAAAUUUU